GUGAGGAAGGGGGUGACUAGUGACAGAGGGAGGGGUGACUAGGGACAGAGUGAGGGAGGUGGUGACUAGUGACUAGUGACAGUUACCACCUCCCUCACUCUGUCACUAGUCACCCCCUCCCUCACUCUGUCACUGUGUCACCCCCUCCCUCACUCUGUCACUGUGUCACCCCCUCCCUCUGUCACUGGUCACCCACUCCCUCCCUCAC
rnacentral:sRNA from 1 species